rnacentral:misc_RNA from 1 species
GAGAAGAACGUAGCGAAAUGCGAUAAGUAGUGUGAAUUGCAGAAUUCAGUGAAUCAUCGAAUCUUUGAACGCACAUUGCGCCCGCCAGUAUUCUGGCGGGCAUGCCUGUUCGAGCGUCAUUUCAACUAUCAAGCCCCAGGCUUGUGUUGGGGACCUGCGGCUGCCGCAGGCCCUGAAAACCAGUGGCGGGCUCGCUGUCACACCGGGCGUAGUAGAUUUUAUCUCGCUCAGGGCGUGCUGCGGGUUCCGGCCGUUAAAAAGCCUUUUUUACCCAAGGUUGACCUCGGAUCAGGUAGGAAGACCCGCUGAACUUAAGCAAAUCAAUAAGCGGAGGA